UACAGAGGGUGCGAGCGUUGUUCGGAAUUAUUGGGCGUAAAGGGCGCGUAGGCGGUGCGGUAAGUCACCUGUGAAAUCUCCUGGCUCAACUGGGAGCUUGCAGGCGAAACUGCCGUGCUGGAGUGUGGGAGAGGUGCGUGGAAUUCCCGGUGUAGAGGUGAAAUUCGUAGAUAUCGAGAGGAACACCGGUGGCGAAGGCGGCCAACUGGACGAAUACUGACGCUGAGACACGAAAGCGUGGGGAGCAAACAGG
rnacentral:rRNA from 1 species